AUUGAACGCUGGCGGCAGGCUUAACACAUGCAAGUCGAGCGGAGUGAUGGUGCUUGCACUAUCACUUAGCGGCGGACGGGUGAGUAAUGCUUAGGAAUCUGCCUAUUAGUGGGGGACAACAUCUCGAAAGGGAUGCUAAUACCGCAUACGUCCUACGGGAGAAAGCAGGGGAUCACUUGUGACCUUGCGCUAAUAGAUGAGCCUAAGUCGGAUUAGCUAGUUGGUGGGGUAAAGGCCUACCAAGGCGACGAUCUGUAGCGGGUCUGAGAGGAUGAUCCGCCACACUGGGACUGAGACACGGCCCAGACUCCUACGGGAGGCAGCAGUGGGGAGUAUUGGACAAUGGGGGGAACCCUGAUCCAGCCAUGCCGCGUGUGUGAAGAAGGCCUUAUGGUUGUAAAGCACUUUAAGCGAGGAGGAGGCUCUUUUGGUUAAUACCCAAGAUGAGUGGACGUUACUCGCAGAAUAUGCACCGGCUAACUCUGUGCCAGCAGCCGCCGUAA
rnacentral:rRNA from 1 species